rnacentral:lncRNA from 1 species
GGACGUUGGGCUGUAUGGACUGGCUGGAGACAGUCUUGGACUGCUCGGGGAAUAAGCUAGGGACGGGCUGUAUUUUGCUGAUGAAGGAUUGUAACUAGGUGAUGUAGGGCUGUAGCUAGGAGAUGUUGGACUAUAGCUAGGAGAAGUUGGACUAUAACCUGGAGAAGUUGGGCUAUAGGCAGGAGAACUAGGGCUGUACGAUGGAGAUGUUGGACUGUAAGAAGGUGAUGUUGGGCUGUAUGAUGGCGAUGUUGGGCUGUAAGAUGGUGAAGUAGGACUGUAAGAUGGAGAGGUCGGGCUAUAGGAUGGUGAAGUGGGGCUAUAUGCAGGAGAUGUAGGGCUGUAUGCUGGAGACGUGGGGCUGUAUGCUGGUGAAGUGGGGCUGUAGCUUGGAGAAGUUGGACUGUAACUGGGAGAUGUAGGGCUAUAACUAGGAGAGGUAGGACUGUAGCUUGGUGAUGUUGGACUAUAACUAGGUGAGGUUGGGGAGUAAGAUGGACUUGUGGGAGAAUAUGUGGGGCUUGUUGGACUAUAGCCUGGAGAGCUUGGACUAUAUGUCGGUGAAGUGGGGCUGUAACCUGGUGAUGUGGGGCUAUAUCCAGGAGAAGUUGGACUAUAACCCGGAGAAGUAGGGCUAUAUCCAGGAGAGGAGGGACUGUAUCCUGGAGAAGAGGGGCUGUAUCCUGGAGAAGAUGUGGGAG